AACUCUAUUGGUAGAGUUUAUUUUUAAUUGUACAAUUAUAAGCCACAUAUUCUAUGAUGGUAACUAUCUUAGCUGUGUUGUUCAGUAGUAUGAAGUUCUUUGGCUCAAUCUUAAAAGCCUGAAGCAUAUACUCAUUGAACAGAAAUUCCACUUUGCCUCUUUCCAACCACACAGGACAACCAUCAUUCUCUUCUCUUGCUUUUUACUUGAUGGUUUAAUAUCUUGUAUAAUUAGACUUGUGUAAUUCUGUCGCUGUGGAUCUGGCUUAUUUCACCCAGGGACAGCUGCUUAUUAUCUUCAGUUUCACUCUUAAACAAAAUGAGGUUUGUAGGCAUCAGUUAACUUGCCUAAAGCGACUCAGUGUUAGAGUGAUCGCCUCUAUAUUGUUAAGUCUGGGUGUUCAGAAUCUCUCAGAAUAGGGUAGGCAUAAUAGAUUUACUUGGAGUAUCUGUCUUUUAGUUAGUUUGAGAAAUGAGGGGCCAAACUGCAGGGACAGUAUCUGUUGUUGUCAGGCACAAGAACACACAGGCUUACUCAGUUUUCUUGUGAUAUGUUCAUCUGUUAAUUUUCACAUGGGGCUGAAAUGCAUAAUAUAUUCGAUUUGUGUCUAUUUUAACCAGGACACUGAACAGUAGUGACAAUAUCUAUACUACUCAUAUACCUUCCAUGCUCAGAUGGCCACUCAUUUUAGUGUGCCUUCCUUAGUCUAGAGAACCAUUGUUUUUUUUUUUUUUUAACAGAGAGACUUUGUUUAACAAGAAGGUUUUCUUAAUUUAUUUUUUACUUAUUCAGUUUACAUCCCACUCACUGCCUCCCUCUCUGUCACUCCCUCCUACAAUCCUUUUCCCAUCCCCUCUCCCCUUCUCCUUUGAGUGGGUGAGUGCCACCCUGGGUUUACCCCCUACUCUGGCACUUCAAGCCUCUUCCAGGCUAGGUGCUUACUCUCUCACUGAGUCCAGACAAGGCAGCCCAGUUAGUAGAACAUAUCCCACAUACAGGCAACAGCUUUUGGAAUAGCCCCCAUUCUAGUUGUUCGGGACCCACAUGAAGACCAAGCUGCUACAUCUGAGCAGGGAGGCCUAGGUCCAGCCUGUGAAUUUUCUUUUGCCGGUGGCUCAGACUCUGAGAGCUAAAUUAGUUUAAAAUGUCUCAAACCCAAAGUUAAGUUUUAUAUGAUCAAUGGAAAACAACUGAAAGAGUGACCAUAUUUUCUAAACAACUGAAAGGAGCCCAGGCAUGGUGAGCACAAGUGUGCUUGCAGAAUGCAGAGAAAAUGCUGCUUUACCAAGACUGACCUAGACAUUUAGUAACAUAAGAUCAGGCAGAGAAGACGGAGAUAUCUCUUUGCAUAUUGAGUUCAGAGGAUAUUAUUGGCUUGCCUUGAAAAAUUUAGAAGAGCUUUCAGAGCAAUAAGGUUUUGAAGUCAUUUCCUUUGUGGUAUGUGGAAAAAGAUGUGCAUGCUAACUCCCACUCAGACCUUCUUACUGUCUUUCACAAACACACUGGAAAUCAGUAUUUUUCAGAAACAGAGAGGUACAGUCAAAAGAGUAGAAUGAGUAUUGAUUUCCAUUGUCUUAACACAGAAAAAGUAACAUUAAAUUGUUGUCAAUUCUAUAGGUUUGAUUUGACAUUUAUAGGGCUCUAAACUAUCACUUAUCACUUGGAGCUCUGGUGAGGAAGAAUUCAAAGUAGAGAAAUCAGCAAGAGAGAUAUUAAUGGUUUGUCAUAAUGUCUGGAGUAAUACUAUCUCAUUUUUUCCAGGUACCAGGAGUUUAAUUCAGUAAGUCCUGAUGACUUAAGAAUGAAGAGGGUUGGGUGUAUUUUUUAGACUUUAAAGAAUAUUAAUAUCAAUUACAAUAUUAGUUUCCAUGACCUUUGGUUCUGAUAUCCUUAGUACAAGGCCAGGGGUAGAACAUGCUCAAUAAAUCUUGGCUCAUCACUCAGUCUUCACACAUUUAGUGAGGGUCUCUGUUGCCGCAUGUUUGCUCUUAGACAUUGCCACAGAAGACUUAAUGUGACUGCUCCAUAACUGUAGUAAGCAUAUUCUUAUUGUGGACAUUCUCAUAGAAGAGGCUUUGAAAUUCUCCCAAAGAGGCUUAUGGGACCCAAAAAGUAUGGUGUCAGAGAACUAUCAGUCUUUAUACAUGUGAGCUCUGGGAAAUGAGUAGGUCAAUCAGGUCAGCAAGCACAUGCAAGUCACAGUGUCAUUGGAAGGCAUGAGUAAAUAGUAGAAUCACAGAGAAAUGGUAGAAAAAUUAGGAGAAAGGUGAUAUAGUAUAAAGGCAUGCAUUCUUCAGAAAAAGAAUAGAACAUGUGGUGAUUAAACUAGAUGACAGUGUUUUUAAAGUUAGUACAGUUGAUGUAGUUGGUAAGGUAAAUGGACUCAAUAUAAAGGACUUUGGAGUGGUUAAAUAGACAAUUUCAACUCGUUUAAGAGUACAAAUUGUAAAACGGGAGCAGUUGGUGAUGCUUAUCAGGAUGUACUUACACAAGUAUUUUUAGAAAAACACACUAAUUCAGGCAUCGGGGCAUCUUGAUUCCUUUUUAUUUCUUCUGAAAGAUAUGAAAACAUGGUUGAUAAAGAAUAUAUACAGGUCUGUAGACAUGUGCUUGCUCUCAGGGCUUUCCUGUCCCAGUGUUUGAUCUCUUUUGUUAUAUUUUAUAUUGCAUUUUAUUCUUUUCCAUUGUUGUUUCCCUUGCUUUCUAAUAAUUUAUUAUUUUCUUUUAUUAGAAAAACUACUUUUAGGGUCAUAAUUUUAUUAGGCAUGUAGAAAAGCCAUAUUUAAAACCAACUAUCUACUUUACCUGGGUGAAAUCUUUAGCCUGAACAACAACAAAAGAAUAUAUAAUGCUCAAACAAAGUUUCCAAGAC
rnacentral:lncRNA from 1 species